GGUGUCUUAAGUAAUGUAAGGCAUCCUGGUACACUAUAUUGCACUGUCAGGUACUUCUGCUCUCCGUUGGUUGUGGGUUUAGAGGGAACAGGGCUGGCAUGUGCUAAAAUACUUACCAGCCAUAGACUCCAUAUACAGAUAAUGAAUGUUGACCCCACUAUGACGUGUUAUCUUUUCCCAAAGCUCAAUAACUGAAUAAAGGCUCUAAAUUUUGCAGGGUAAAGAUAUCCCCUCUGUAGUUUGAAGUGGGAGGGCUGCUGUCAUGGAACACAUCUGUCUGUAACUGUAUUUAUUUGUUUUGAACUUUUAAAACUUACUUGUAUAUUCCAACUUUCUCUUUGUGCUACUACAGCCAAAAGAGUAAGCCCAGAAUCUUUUCUUUAAAUAAGAAAAUGUUUUAAAUAAGAUAUGUGAAUAAAAAAAUUUUCAAUAAGAAAAUAUGUGUUUGGUUAUUUACUGCUUUCAAAUCAGUGGACAAACAAUAACAGUUUUACUUAUAUAUUUCUUGAAAUGAACUGAUUUGUAUUGAAUUCUGAGAAAAAUAUGUGAUUUUUCCAGACUUGGGAGUAUCUGAUGGCUGCCUAAUAAAUUUAACAGCUACGCCUGCAAGCUCUGUCCUAGAUCCCACGUUAUUCUCCUGGGACAUUGGACAGAUCUUACUUCAAAAGAGAGCUGAAAAGGAAGAGGAACUGAAAAAAGCAUUUCAGAUGCUUGAUGUUGGUUGGACCCUGACAGUCACAAAGGGUGAAUUCAGGAGAGUGAUUGGAACCUUUCUCUUCCAUCUAACAGAAGCUGAAUUUGAUGCUGUGCUGGCAGAGGUUGAACAGCCAGAGUCGCCAAACAAUGACAUUAAGUCAGCUGGAAACCCUGCUCAAAGAGAAGAUCGCAAAGAAUGUGAAAAAAUAUUAUCAGAUGCUGCAGACUUUUUGACUACGGCCGUGCAGGAUGGAUACAGAGGCACACACUAAAGCAAAUUCUUAAGACCACCUCUUUCAGGAUGAAGGAUUCAGAAUUUGAGAAGUAAGUAAAGAAACAGCCAUGAUUUUUCUGUGAGAGUAAUAAUAAUAAUAAAUGAUGGGGCCUUUGUGAUCUUCUGAAUGAC
rnacentral:lncRNA from 1 species